rnacentral:lncRNA from 1 species
CUAAAACUUUCACUCAGGCAUGACUGCAUGCCUACAGCAGGACUGCUGUCUCUCUGUCUCGCUUUCCUCUUUUCUCCUCCUCUCUCUCUUUUACAGCACUGGUGAGACAGUAACAGAUGGAGAGACAGAGUGCAGGGAUGAUGAGGACGUAAAAUGUGCAACGUUUACUCAUUUGCUUCUUUAUUGUCUUUCGCUGCAGGAGCAGAGUGAGGGAGUGAGCGGAAAAACAAACCGGUGGGUACAAGGACACGGGCCUCCCGAGCCUCAUUCGCCAACCAAUCGGCCUUGAUAGGAUCCACCAGCUGCCAAGGAUACACCGACUCCCUCUCUCUUCCUUCCCUCUCACCCUAUGUCUCUUUCUCCACCCUUGACUUCCCACCUGUUCUCUUGCUGUCAGUCAAUUUUUACUCUCUUUUUGCUGUCUAUUUGCACCCCUCCCCUCUGCCUGCCUUUCUUCCUGUCUGUAAUGUGGAGCGGUGAUGGAUAGACAUGUGCCGGCGUACAGAGGAACCUAUUUGGACUGGUGUGUCAGCCCAUCUUUAUCAAAUGUUGCAGAGGUAUAUUCUCUUGCUAUGCUUCAUUACUCUGGAAUGGCAGGCCCUGAAAUGUUUGACUGCUCUGUCUUCUCUCCUCUUCACCCCCUUUUUCUCUCCAUCCUCCCCCCUCUCUCCCACUCAUUUAGCGCCUGUGAGCUGUAGUAUUGGAGCUGAGGAGUGAGUGUGAGCAUGGCUGUCUUCCCCUCUGUCGGCUGGCCGGGGGAACGCAGCGAUGCCUCAGGGGGUAGAUAUCGAUUCCAUCGCACGGCUGAGGCGCUAACGAAGCCCCUCCCCUGCCUGCCCAUUCUCAUGACAACCAGCUGCCACACUGGGCCGCCAUUGGCCGAGCCUCAGCAGUGCCUCUGCCAAUCAAAACGCCACUGACAGCUCCUGUGUGUGAGCAUGACCUCAGGAUGACAUCACUGGAAAGACAUUAAAGUAAUAAAGAGCUUGGUAGUACACUACUGUAAAGGGCAGAGCUACAUAAAGACUCAUCGAUCAGCGCGUACAGAAUCUAAAUUGAGGUGUUUCAGUCGUAGUUGAACGAGGGGUCAGCUCUCCCUGAGUGGCCUCGUAAGGGAAAACUUUUCUCUCACAGUCCAUCAGUCCUGUCAUGAUAUUCUGUGUAUAUCUGCACCCCACACCUUGUCAGUAAGCUCGAGACUAAAUGUGUGUGUGGAUGAAGGUAUAUCACCCUGCAGGAAGUGGGGAUCAAUAGUAAAUCCUCCUGAGCUGGGGGUAUUUCUCCAGAGAGGUGGGGACCUUAAGCCAGAUCAAUGAGGAGCACAGACACCGUCUUGGACCUGAUGGAAGUUUUGAGUGAUAGGAAUCAGGCCGUCGCUGAUUUUUAGCAACUAUCAUCACAGAGAAAGUGACACUCGGCCUGAGUCAAAAAACUGCUCUGACCUUCAUUGGACUUUUCUGGUUGAAAUGUCUCCUUACUCGCUACAACUCAUUCAAAGGGACCCAUACCCCACAUGAUCCAAUCAUAAACAAGCUUUUGGACUAGACACCAUUCACCAUAGAAAGAUUCUCACAUGAACUUACCUGAAAGAUAAGUGUCAAAAGUAUGAAGUUUAUCAAAUACAUCACAUUAUGAUGCUCCAUCAAUAAAUUUUACUGGUAGCAAUAA